UGCCCCCAGGCAAUGGGCAAAGAGACUUCUUGUUGGUAGCAUUAUUCUUAUAUCAGCCAAGGGCAGAGCAGACGGCAAUCCUUUGGUCAUCCUUGCUUGAUGCCUUGCUUGGUGGCCAAAACUGUUUGAUGCCUAAGACUCAUAA